GCGACGGGAGUUGUGGUCCAAGAGCACGAGGGGAAAUCUCUUGGAAAGUCAAGUAGGGUAGAGGCGUUGCGCUCUUGCAAUUCCGUUGUUGUUUUUAAUUUGGGCCCGAGAGUUACAAUAAACGGAGAAAAGCGUGUUUAAGGGCGGCUGUAUCAAUUCAAAAGAAACAAUGAUUUAAAAAAUAAAAUAAAGCUAAGCCAAUCAGGCACGUCCAUGGAGUGUAGCAUGACUCAAUUAGCUUUUAACACACUGUACGAACGCUCCUCUAAGGUUGCUGACCAUGAUGGAGCCCAUCUGGUCACCUCUGUGUUUGGCAAUGCGGAUGGAGGCCGGACUGCAGAUAUCUGGGGUAGCAAAUUGUUCAGAAAGGUUCUUGAAACCGAAUAGCCUCCUGUGAAAUGUAACCAUGAUGUCCCUCUGGCUGUGGUAACUCAACAGUUACAGAAAUACCAGUAGGAAUAUUGGACUCAGUGGGGGUCGUGAUGAUUUCAUUCCUGUAUCUGAAGAUGCUUAUUCAAGGAAACGGGCUACGGUAUGGAAUUUGCAAAAGACCUUUUAUUUCUUUCGGGAUACAAAGUCAGAGGGGUUAAAGUCAUUAAACAUUUGCGGUGUUGUGGGAAUACAGGCAUACAAAAAGCUCCUCCUUUUCCUAAAUGAAUUAAUGCUGCACUCUGGACAGGUGAGUUCAUCUUCAGGUUCUCUUUGUCUGCUUGCCCCGACCUCACUGCAGAGAUUUAAAUCUGCCUGAAACACGUUCACACCUGGCAAUGUGUUUACGUAUUCUUUUCAGUGCAAUGUACGUGAGAAAAGAUGCUUAAGGAAAUUCAAACUGCAAGUUGUGAGUGGGUUGAAAAAUGUUCUGCCCGGUGUCUGUUUACAGUCAGGACUGCUAAUUAAGGAAGCCCUACUAAGCGCCUGUCACAGAAAUUUAUUACAGUACAAUCUGCUACGGAGGGACACCUCCCUCGCUGUUCUUGCCUCUGUCAGCAAAAGGAGGGACAACAUACAUGGCAUGAAACAAUCACAACAUUUAUGCAUUGAAGCGGAAAAGUCUUUUUAAAUGCACACAUUUGAAAUGCAAUAAAGCAAGUUCCAAAGCUAAGAACAUAGUGUAAUAAUUUAUUUGGAAUGUGUAUUAAAUUUGAACCUAUUCUGACACAAGGGCAGGAGAGAGCAGGGUGUGUGUUUGUGUGUUUGUGUGUUUGUGUGUUUGUGUGUGUGUGUGUGUGUGUGUGAAUCUCAGGCCCAAUUUUGAGAUGUUAGAAACUCUUUGAAAGAUGCCAUGUCCAGCCCAAAUCAUCUUUCCUGGCUUGUUGCCUUUUAUCUAAGUGUGCAUUUCAAAUUCAAUCCUUUCCCCACACCGCUCAGCUGAAUUUGGAAAGCUGAUAAUGUUUUUUUCCUGAUUCAUGGCUGGGUGGGGAAUUCUAGGAGUUGAAGCCCAUCCAACUUCAAGUUGCCAAGAUUGAGAAACACUGCUCUACAUGUCUUCUCAAAAAUAAUCUCAAGAAAAGUUUAGUGGAUAUUGAAUCACAAUCUUAGUGUCAAUGGCUUCUCUUUGAAGAAGAAGAAAUGGUUCAGAGAUCUAUAACCAAUAUGUUUUGGAGAGAAUACCUGUUUUUAGAAUCAGGAGUUUUAACAUAACAAAUGUCAACUUGAAUAAGGGCAAUUCCAUACCACACCAUUUUUUUUCCUCCCACAUCCAUACAAAUAUUUUGACAUCGACUUGCAAACUUUGUAACAUCUGCCCAUUAUAAAAUCAGAUUUCAGGCAGAAAAUAGGAAGCAAGGAAGGAAAGAAGGAGAGAAAAAGAGAGAAAGAGAAAGAAAAAUGAAGGAAG